UGGGGAAUAUUGCACAAUGGGCGCAAGCCUGAUGCAGCCAUGCCGCGUGUAUGAAGAAGGCCUUCGGGUUGUAAAGUACUUUCAGUCGGGAGGAAGGUGUCAAGGUUAAUAACCUUGGCAAUUGACGUUACCGACAGAAGAAGCACCGGCUAACUCCGUGCCAGCAGCCGCGGUAAUACGGAGGGUGCAAGCGUUAAUCGGAAUUACUGGGCGUAAAGCGCACGCAGGCGGUUGAUUGAGUCAGAUGUGAAAUCCCCGGGCUUAACCCGGGAAUUGCAUCUGAUACUGGACAGCUAGAGGCUUGUAGAGGGGGGUAGAAUUCCAUGUGUAGCGGUGAAAUGCGUAGAGAUGUGGAGGAAUACCGGUGGCGAAGGCGGCCCCCUGGACAAAGACUGACGCUCAGGUGCGAAAGCGUGGGGAGCAAACAGG
rnacentral:rRNA from 1 species